ACACGACUACAUUAGACUACCCCCGUAGUCCCAGCCCUAAACGAUGCGCGUUAGGUGUAUCGGUGACCACGAGUCACCGAGGUGCCGAAGGGAGACCGUGAAACGUGCCGCCGUGGGAAGUACGGUCGCAAGGCUAGAAACUUAAAGGAAUUGGCGGGGAGCACCACAACGGGUGGAGCCUGCGGUUUAAUUGGACUCAACGCCGGGAAGCUCACCGGAUAAGACAGCGGAAUGAUUGCCGGGCUGAAGACCCUGCAUGACCAGCUG
rnacentral:rRNA from 1 species